AGAUAGCUGGUUCUCCCCGAAAUAGCUUUAGGGCUAGCCUCAGGGAAAAGAUUGCAGGCGGUAGAGCACUGAUCAGGAGAGGGACCUACCCGGUUACCAAACCCAGUCAAACUCCGAAUGGCUGCAAUCAUACCUGGGAGUCAGACUGCGACUAAUAAGGGCCGUAGUCAAAAGGGAAACAGCCCAGACCAUCAGCUAAGGUCCCCAAUGCCGUGCUAAGUGGCGAAGGAUGUGGCAUUUCAUAAACAACCAGGAUGUUGGCUCAGAAGCAGCCACCAUUUAAAGAGUGCGUAAUAGCUCACUGGUCGAGAGACGCUGCGCCGAAAAUGUCCGGGGCUCAAGCACGGAACCGAAGCUAUGGCAUGAUAGCAAUAUCAUGGGUAGGGGAGCGUUCUUAUAAGGAAGAAGCAUGACCGGAAGGACAUGUGGACGAAUAAGAAGUGAGAAUGCCGGUAUGAGUAUCGAAAAGAAAGGUGAGAAUCCUUUCCACCGAAAGCCCGAGGGUUCCUGAGCAACGAUCGUCGACUCAGGGUAAGUCGGGACCUAAGCCGAGGCGGAAAGCGUAGGCGAUGGACAACAGGUUGAAAUUCCUGUACCGGAUCAAGUCGAUCGAGCGAAGGAGCGACGCAGGAGGGCACAUGAUCGCGCGGCUGGAAGAGCGCGUCCAAGUGCGUAUGUUGCAGCAGAGGAAAACCCCUGCAGCUAAAAGCAGAGACAUGAUGGGGAGUUAAAGGAAACUUUGACGAACUCAUGGAUCCCACACUGCCAAGAAAAACUUCUAGCGAGACAAGAUCCGCCCGUACCGUAAACCGACACAGGUAGGCGGGGAGAGAAUCCUAAGGUGCGCGGGAAAACCCUCGUUAAGGAACUCGGCAAAUUGCAUCCGUAACCUAGGGAGAAGGAUGGCCCCCGGUCAGUGAAGAGCAGAAACGCUCAGAGCUAAAAGGGGCGGCAGAAAAGAGGCCCAAGCAACUGUUUACCAAAAACACAGGUGCCUGCGAAAGCGAAAGCUGAAGUAUAGGUGCUGACGCCUGCCCGGUGCCGGAAGGUUAAGGAGAGAAGUUAGCGAAAGCGAAGCAUCGAACUGAAGCCCCGGUGAACGGCGGCCGUAACUAUAACGGUCCUAAGGUAGCGAAAUUCCUUGUCGGGUAAGUUCCGACCCGCAUGAAAGGCGUAAUGAUUUGGGCACUGUCUCAACGAGGGGCCCGGUGAAAUUGAAAUACCUGUGAAGAUGCAGGUUACCCGCGACUGGACAGAAAGACCCCAUGGAGCUUCACUGCAGCUUGAGAUUGAAUCCCGGUGACAGAUGCACAGGAUAGGUGGGAGGCGUCGAAGCAUUGCCCUAGGGCGGUGCGGAGCCGAUGUUGGGAUACCACCCUUCUGUUGCUGAGAUUCUAACGCGAGGAGUAACGACCCUGCGGACCCUCUCAGGCAGGCGGUUUGACUGGGGCGGUCGCCUCCGAAAGAGUAACGGAGGCGCCCAAAGGUUCCCUCAGGCCGGACAGAAACCGGCCGAAGAGUGCAAAGGCAGAAGGGAGCUUGACUGCGAGACCAACAAGUCGAGCAGAGACGAAAGUCGGGCUUAGUGAUCCGGU
rnacentral:rRNA from 1 species